AGUUUAUAUGGUAUCAGGGUGAGGUGUAGUAGGUGUGGCUUUUCAAAUGACCUUUGACCAUUGACCAAGGGGUCGUGUAUGUUUUAUGAUGAUGAGGUAAAUGUUCAAUUUAAAAGUUUAUUUUAAUUUUGUUAAAGACAAUACAAAUCUAACUACAUGUUUCUGAAUCUGCACGUCUAACAGUGGUUCAUAUAUUUGAACCACUGUUAGACGGAUGAUUUGAGGCCUGAAUGCUGAUUGACUGAAAGCUGUGGAAUGUCAGACCAACAAAAUAUUUAUUUGUACCGCUCUAGUUACGUUGGUAACCAGUUUAUAAUAGCAAUAAGGCACCUCGGGGGGUUGUAAUUUAUGGCCGAUAUACCAAAAGGCAAAGGGCUGUGUCCUAGCACUCCGCAAGAACAGCCCUUAGCCGUUGUUUAUUGGCCAUAUAUCACUCCCCCUCGGGCCUUAUUGCUUAAAUAUAGCGUGUUGAUUUGUUAUUAUGCAUUACUGCAUCCAGGAGCGCCUUCUUACGGUUUUCCUGCAUGCUCAAGUCAUUGUGAUGCACUGGGAGAGGAGCGAGAAAUCUCAUCCAAUAAAACAACCUGAUCUCCGAAGUCCACGUUUUUAAUCUCAAUCACACACCGCGGGGCGGUACAGCACCGGUUACAUUGGUGCCUUCUAGACCCGGAUUCAUCGAUGAUCAACGUCAGCUCGGUCACCGUGGAGCUGCUGCUCUAGAGACUGUUUACAUCAUGAGCAGCAGGCGGGUCUGAGUCUGCUGAUCAGUGUGAUCAAAGACCUCGUGGAAGACCUCAAUCUGAUUGGACACGGCUUCCUGGACUUGCUCAGCUCAACCCGCCCUGCCCUUUUCACUGUCCGUCUGAGCUGGAUUCAAAUAGUAUUUGCUUUCUUUCAAAUACUUUGAGCAUUUGAUUGAUCCGGUCUGAUGCACGGUUGCACAUUAUGGGACUAUUGGACGGCAGGUAAAGUAUUUUAAAAUUAAAGGGAUGUUUAUUUAAACCAGGUCUGAUGCUGAUAACCAUUGUUAAAGAGACAUGCCACUUUGUUGGCAACACAUCUCUCUUUCUGUGUUUCCCACUCAAAGCUCCCAUCCAUCUGAACUAAGAUGUGACUGUUUUGAGUUGUUCAAUAUGUUGGGUGAUAUUCAACAAAUAAAUAUGAGAAUACUGCACA